rnacentral:rRNA from 1 species
GUAGUGAACCUGCGGAAGGAUCAU